rnacentral:lncRNA from 1 species
UUUCAACGAGUGAAUCAAUUCAUCAAACACACUUCUAAGAAGGAAAUUGAACAUGCUACAAAAGAAAUGGAAUUCACAGAGACCUAUCCAUGACUUGGCAAAAUAGAAUAGCCUUCGUACGUGGUCACACAUGAGAAAUUUCAAUUAAACCAAGAUAGAUUCAAUAAUCAGGGCUAACAGUGCAGAAUCUAUUGCUAAAAUACGCGCAAAUCUGCUGCCUAAAUAGUGCAAAACAGGGCAGCUUUUCAGUUAGCUAUCAAUCCAAACAAAUGUCCCAAAAUAUUGCACAUUGUCAGAGAAGCACAAAUAGAUUUUUAUGGACAUAUGAGUUAGGACAGUUUCAGACUCUAAACCAUUAAAAGAUGUCAACUUCCUAGCCCUUCAAAAAAAUGAUUUCAGCAGUUUGUUUUAUAUAUCUAGUUCUACUAUCAGUAACACUAAGCUACCACA